rnacentral:RNase_P_RNA from 1 species
AACUCAAUCCGGGCAAUUGCCCCGAUAAUAUCGGGGAGGAAAGUCCGAACUUCUCAGAACAAGGUGCCGGGUAACCCCCGGGAGAUAAUGGAGUAAUUUAUUAUCGACUGAUAGUGCCACAGAAAAUAAACUACCUUGAAAUUUAUUUCAGGGAAAAGGUGAAAAGGCGAGGUAAAAGCUCACCGGCUUGAUAGUAAUAUCAAGUGCAUGGCAAACCACACCUGAAGCAAGGUCAAGUAUGAAAAUCUUUCCGCCUGUCUGCCGCAAGGUAGGACUGUCGGGGCAAAGUUGUUCGCUUUGAAUAAUACUUAAUUGUAUUAUGGAUUUUCGGGUGGACCGCUAAAGUCUGCUGGUAACAGCAGAACAAGACAAAUAAUUGCCGCCCCGACAAGUCGGGGUUACAGAAUUCGGCUUAUAGGAUUGAGCUUUUA